UCUAAGAAUAUUAAGUUUUGAGACGUAAGUUUGUCAUUUGUAGAGAGAGCAAUUCAUACCACAAGUAAGGCAAAUUGAUCAAAGUAUUGCACAAAGAGGUGAAGGGUUGCUUCAGGAAUUAACAAAGAACGGAAGAAAAUUAUUUUUCGACCGAUGAUUGGUUUUGGAUACAUUUUCACAAAGAGCGAUUCACAUCUCAAAGAAAGACCAAGUUACAUCAAAGGGGGAUGACCCUUAUCAAGUGAUAAUUUUCCUGAUUCGAGGACGAAUCAUUUUGAAGAGAGGGAAGAUGAACACGGAGCAUUAUAUACUUUCAAAUAUAUGUAUAUUCUAUGAAUAUUGAACAUUAUAUACUUUUGUUUUAAAGUAACCUAAAUGCAUGUAUAAAUCGUAUUCAAUAAAAUAUAUUAUUAAAAUUUAAAAAGAAACUCAUUCAUAUUAUAAUAUAUG